AGCCGCGUGUCACCUCUCCAGCCGGGAGAGGGUCACGAGGGCUGCUUUAGCCCCGUGCGCACUCUCCCGGCUGGAGAGGUGACGCGCGGCU
rnacentral:miRNA from 1 species